rnacentral:rRNA from 1 species
AGGCUCCUACGGGACGCAGCAGUAGGGAAUUUUCGUCAAUGGGCGCAAGCCUGAACGAGCAAUGCCGCGUGAACGAGGAAGGUCUUCGGAUCGUAAAGUUCUGUUGAAGGGGAAAAAGAGCGGAGAGAGGAAAUGAACUCCGAUUGAUAUUACCCGUCGAGGAAGUCACGGCUAACUACGUGCCAGCAGCCGCGGUAAUACGUAGGUGGCGAGCGUUAUCCGGAAUGAUUGGGCGUAAAGGGCGCGUAGGCGGCCUGCUAAGUCUGGAGUGAAAGGUACCGGCUCAACCGGUACAGGCUCUGGAA